rnacentral:rRNA from 1 species
GAGUUUGAUCCUGGCUCAGGACGAACGCUGGCGGCGCGCUUAACACAUGCAAGUCGAACGUGAAGCCGGGGCUUGCCCCGGUGGAAAGUGGCGAACGGGUGCGUAACACGUGAGCAACCUGCCCCGAAGACUGGGAUAACACCGGGAAACCGGUGCUAAUACCGGAUACCCUCUUUUGAUCGCAUGGUCGGAUGAGGAAAUGGAUUCCGCUUCGGGAUGGGCUCGCGGCCUAUCAGCUUGUUGGUGAGGUAACGGCCCACCAAGGCGACGACGGGUAGCUGGUCUGAGAGGACGACCAGCCGCACUGGGACUGAGACACGGCCCAGACUCCUACGGGAGGCAGCAGUGGGGAAUCUUGCUCAAUGGGCGAAAGCCUGAAGCAGCGACGCCGCGUGCGGGAUGAAGGCC